rnacentral:rRNA from 1 species
AUGACCGUCGCUACGAGCCUUAUUUCUUCACCAUGGCUGAACUCGACGGCCAUUACCGCCCUUACGGACCGUUGGAGGCCGGAGACGCACUCUUUUCACCUUGCUCUUGGUGAGAUGACCGUCACUUUGGAGGAUAUUGCGAUGAUCUCUGGUCUUCCGAUCGAGGGCAGAGCUCUUACCGGGAAGGUGAAGUCCGAGGGGUGGCGACAAAGGGUUGCAGGUUUGGUUGGUGUUGAACCUCCCCCGUGGAUUCAUGAAACAAAGAAGGAUCCUAGGCCAUCUGGUGUUUUGUUCUCGUGGCUACAAGAACAUUUUUACGAGUGCCCAGAGAAUGCCAGUCCGGCUGUUGUGGAGAGGUACGCCAGGGCUUACUUAUGGAAUCUUUUGACCCAAGUGGUGUUUCCUGACGUCACGGGAGACACAGCCUCGUGGAUGUUCUUGGACCCUCUUCGUAACUGGGAUGUUAAGUGGAGUUGGGGGUCGGCGGCACUAGCCUUCUUGUACUGUCAGGUAAUGCUAAUUUCAUGA